GACGAACGCUGGCGGCGUGCUUAACACAUGCAAGUCGAACGGUAAGGCCCUGCUUUUGUGGGGUGCUCGAGUGGCGAACGGGUGAGUAACACGUGAGUAACCUGCCCUUGACUUUGGGAUAACUUCAGGAAACUGGGGCUAAUACCGGAUAGGAGCUCCUGCUGCAUGGUGGUGGUUGGAAAGUUUCGGCGGUUGGGGAUGGACUCGCGGCUUAUCAGCUUGUUGGUGGGGUAGUGGCUUACCAAGGCUUUGACGGGUAGCCGGCCUGAGAGGGUGACCGGCCACAUUGGGACUGAGAUACGGCCCAGACUCCUACGGGAGGCAGCAGUGGGGAAUAUUGCACAAUGGGCGGAAGCCUGAUGCAGCAACGCCGCGUGCGGGAUGACGGCCUUCGGGUUGUAAACCGCUUUCGCCUGUGACGAAGCGUGAGUGACGGUAAUGGGUAAAGAAGCACCGGCUAACUACGUG
rnacentral:rRNA from 1 species